GGCCUGUCAGUCUGAACAAUAUUUCGCCUUGAGUAAUGGACCCUAGUGUAUAUGAAGUUGACUGUGCCUAUUUGGGCUGCGCCCUUGCCUCUUCAUCACGCCAUUGUCUGCUCCAACUUGUCUGCUCCAUCUUGCCUUUUUUAGGUCAUGCCCUUCUCCUGGCAGCUGACAACAGGCCCCUUCCAAGGCCGUAUCAACCACGAUUGGCCCAAGGUUGCCGAACCUCUAAGCGGAGGGAGGCAAAUUGCCUCAGGCAGCGAGUUGUUAGUUAAUUUAUUCUUGCGUUUUGACUUCCAGGGAAGGGAAAGAGACGUUUGCGGCAUCCUCUGCCUCAGGUGCCAGAAUAAUUUGGUGGGCUUUGGAUGUUGCGCACCCUGACUUGGGAGAGGCACCCUGUAUUGCUCUCCCCUCAGACAUCCAAGUUUCUUGGGGCCUGUAUAUUGAGGGCAUUGUUGGAAACUAAAAUGGCAGCUCAGGCGCAGUUGCCUGGUGAGGGGAGACCACUGAAGAUGUUGUGUGCUGAGGGCAGGCUUGAGUUUGGGGGCCUAAGGCAGUCAGGAAUCAUGGUGAAACAUCCAUUGUAGAAAUACAGGUAGCCUCAUAUUGAAUGGUGUGACUACUUUUAGUGAGCAGCUGGGGAGAAUGCUGCCUGCACGCUUUCCCUUAUGCGAUUUACCGAAAGCUGGAAAUUAAGAGAAAGGGACUGGAAUAUUUCUGAGGGGGCAAGGCCAACAAAAUUUCCCUUUUUCUGUGGCUCCCCGCCUGCCGCCUGCCCCCAGGGCAUUUGCUCUUUGGCUUACAGCUUGCAAAGUGAGUUACAGAAGCAGCUGUAUUGUACGGGGCACUUUAAUCUCCCUUUGGCUUUUUAAUGAUGUUUAACCACAAACAAUGGCAGACGCUGAGUCGCUGGCUAGCAAUCUGAGUGGGAGUGUGUGCUGCCUGGGUGAGAACGAUACUGCUAAAGUUGCUGAACAAUGCCUUUUUGUUUUCGGGUGCUUUGCGUGGGGUGCUUUUUUAUUAUUAUGAUUCCUUUUUGCAGGCCCUGGAUUCAGCCCCUUGUUUUCAGACUUUGUCGCAGAGGCUGUCCUUAUCACUGUAGGGUAGAUGUUUAACUGAAGGGCUGGAUCAGACCAGUUAGUUGCCCAUCUAGUCCAGCAUCCUAUUACCCACCAUGGCCAGUUGGAUGCCUUGAGGGAGCACAGAGGCAGGACACGAGGGCAGAGGUCCCCUCUGGUUGCUGCUCUAAGCAGCUGGUAUCCUGUGGCAUUCUGCUUCUUAAAACCAGAAGGCUCUGUAUACAGUGGUACCUCUAGUUAUGAACUUAAUUCAUUCUGGAGGUCUGUUCUUAACCUGAAACUUCUUAACUAGAGGCGUGCUUUCGCUAAUGGGGCCACUUGCCGCUGCUGCGCUGCCGGCACACGAUUUCCGUUCUCAUCCUGGGGCAAAGUUCUCAACUCGAGGUAACUCUUCCAGGUUAGCAGAGUUUGUAACCUGAAGCGUUUGUAACCUGAGGUGUUUGUAACUCGAGGUAAGACUGUACUUCAUGGGCAGUAUCCAGCGAAUGUGUUCCAUCAACACAAGUAUUUUCUCUUGCGCAAUGGUACUUCCUCCCAUUCUUUCCCCAGAAGCAUUCCCCAGCCCCCCAGAUCGGCUCCAGAGGUUUGAGUGGGACUUCAGAACAAAUUUAGGGGGCAGGCAGAGUGUUCUGUUGUGCAAGUGGAAAUCUUUGCACAUUACAAGCCAGGGUAACAAAUAGCCAGUGGUGUGGAAUUGACUUGGGAAAAUUUCUGGAGGUGAAGUCCUACGCAUUGUUUGCAUUCUGAGAAGAAGAAGAAGAGUUUGGAUUUGAUAUCCUGCUUUAUCACUACCCAAAGGAGUCUCAAAGCAGAUAACAUUCUCCUUUCCCUUCCUCCCCCACAACAAACACUCUGUGAGUUGAGUGGGGCUGAGAGACUUCAGAGAAGUGUGACUGGCCCAAGGUCACCCAGCAGCUGCGUGUGGAGGAGCGGAGAUGAGAACCCAGUUCCCCAGAUUACGAAUCUACUGAUCUUAACCACUACACCACACUG